GUAUGAUCCAGAGAAUACUAGCACGGUUCUUGCAUAAAGAUGCCAUGCAAAUUAGUGAAAUGUACCAUUAUAUU
rnacentral:snRNA from 1 species